rnacentral:rRNA from 1 species
UGGGGAAUAUUGCGCAAUGGGCGGAAGCCUGACGCAGCGACGCCGCGUGGGGGAUGACGGCCUUCGGGUUGUAAACCUCUUUCGACCGGGACGAAGCGUGAGUGACGGUACCGGUAGAAGAAGCACCGGCCAACUACGUGCCAGCAGCCGCGGUAAUACGUAGGGUGCGAGCGUUGUCCGGAAUUAUUGGGCGUAAAGAGCUCGUAGGCGGUGUGUCACGUCGAUCGUGAAAACUUACAGCUUAACUGUGAGCGUGCGGUCGAUACGGGCAUCACUGGAGUUCGGCAGGGGAGACUGGAAUUCCUGGUGUAGCGGUGAAAUGCGCAGAUAUCAGGAGGAACACCGGUGGCGAAGGCGGGUCUCUGGGCCGAUACUGACGCUGAGGAGCGAAAGCGUGGGGAGCGAACAGGAUUAGAUACCCCCGUAGUCC